rnacentral:lncRNA from 1 species
AUGCAAAAUAACCCAUCUGACAGGCACUUCUACUUUGGCAGUAUGAUUCCAGAAAGCUGCUGCCAUUCAUAUCGUCAACAGUGCCAGUCAAUGCAUCCAAGCAGCCUGACUGAGCACAAGGCUCAUGGCUGGCCAUGGCUAUGCUGCUUUAUGACUAGCCAAUAGCUGCAAUAAAUUCUGAACUGCAAGAACUUUCAGAACCCACUGCAGGGAGCAAACCGGUUACACUUUUGCCAGCGGGAGUCUGGACCUGUACAGUUUGCCUUAAGAAUCUCUAGCAAAACAGUGAAUUCAAGCUGAUGUCUGAGGUUGCCUCUGAGAAAAGUGCUUCUACUUCGAUAAAGCCAGAAAUGAUUUCUGUCUGGGAAAAGAGAAAUACCCCAGACACAGCCAAUAUAUACCUCUGGAAGAGAUGAAGGAUAAAAUCAGAGAAGCAUCUGGUUGUCAUCAUACACCAGCUUUUCUGGAGUAGGUUUGUUUUUUUUUUACAAGGCAAAAUUCCAUUCUUCUGGACCCACUUGUAUUCUCCAGCUUUUUAGGGAGUGGAGCCACAUCCCCCCUCCCUCCCUCCACACACGCAAAAAUUUAAAAUACCACAGUAGCACAGCCAGGGUGGCCAAAAGCCCAUUUUCCAUAAUGGCUUUCAGGGAAGACUUAUUGAAGUGAUAUUUUCUUCAACAACAACAACAACCCAGAAUUUCCAAACACACAAAUAAAAUCCUGCUUUCCACAAAUCUCACACACACUUUUUGAAACCUCCUGGAAAAGACUACGCUUAGUUGCGUGUUGGAUGAAAAUCAUUCGGUGACAGACUAUUGAUAUAUGGCCCUGUGUUGUUAUAUUACUACAGAAUGCCUGUGCAGAACGGCAUAUUGCAAAGACCAUGCUGCAGUGAAUCUCUGCAUACUUUACAUAUAGAGACAAAUUGCACCCUUGUGAGAUCCCUGUUGGAGAGGAUGAAGCCUGUGUGGGAUGUUAGCAUCCAAAAUGCAUAUGUAAAGGGUUAAUGUUUGAAAGGGUUGUAGGACUGCUGUGAUGACAUGUACUCUGUGGCAGUUAUUUCAGUUGGUUCAGUUAUUAACAGUCUUGUGAGUAUGAACAGUUAGAGCAGCAAGUAUGUUGUAUAGUGCUGCUGUCUGCCCUGAUCAGAGUCAGCAUAUCAGUCAGUCUGUAAAUGUUAGUUGUCUGUAACAGGUUAAUCUAUGUCAGAUGUUUUAGCAACUAAAAGAAACACCCACCUGCAUUGCAUAUAUAUUUAAUCCACAACUGCAAGUACGCUAAGUAAAAGUUACAUGUUCUUUAAACGAGAGUGUCUUGCGUAGUUUUUAUAACAGGGUAAAAGGUA